rnacentral:ncRNA from 1 species
AGCAAAGUAGACGACAUGCGUUAAGUGCUAGUGGAUGGGAUGUUGCCGCUGGACGAAGCUUUAAGUGCGAUAUGUCGAUUGCAUCCGUUGCA